CCUUUGUAGUAUAAAAAGUACGUUGAUUUCCACUCAGAGGGUCUGUCUUAAGUCGAAGGU
rnacentral:tRNA from 1 species